rnacentral:lncRNA from 1 species
UACAAGCUAUGAAAAUUUUAUGACCAAAACCACAGAUCAAUUCAAUGGAUGACAUAAAAAACUAAUAAACAAAAUCUGCAGAAAAGUGAUGCAAAAACACAGAUCCAUUGCAUUGUAAAAAGAUCACUAUAACAAGACAUUGAAACCCUAAAUCCCUUCUAGCUUUGAUUUAUGAUUAAACUCAAUAAUAGGGGAAAAUUACAUAGCUAGAAAACUGUGUACGAAACGAUGAAAAAUAAAAAGUUUAAUAAAUUCAGAAUUUGUCGACAACAUCUGUGACUAAACCGCAGAUCAAAGAAAAUUUACAGCUAACGCUACAAACACUAGCUUCACUAAUUACCCUUACAACCUUCACUUCUUCCCUCUCUUAGCUGCUGCCUUCUUGGCUGGAGACUUCGCAGUCUUGGCCUUCGCCGCUGCUUUCACCGGAGUCUUCUUCACAGGUGCAGCCUUCUUCGCCGCCGGCUUGGGUGCAGCAGCUGCAGCCGCUGGUGAAGUCCUCGUCGAGGUCCUUGCAGCCUUGGCAGGCUUAGCAGCUGGCUUGGCUUUGGCAGCUGGCUUGGCUUUGGCAGCAGGUUUCGCCUUAGCAGCAGCUUUAGGCUUCGCGGCAGGCUUGGCCUUGGCUGCUGGCUUGGCUGCGGCAGUCUUAACCGGCUUGGCAGCGGGUUUAGCUUUGGCAGCAGGCUUUGCCUUAGCAGCGGGCUUAGCCUUGGCAGCUGGCUUGGCCUUAGCAAUGCGGCAGUCUUAACCGGCUUGGCAGCGGGUUUAGCUUUGGCAGCAGGCUUUGCCUUAGCAGCGGGCUUAGCCUUGGCAGCUGGCUUGGCCUUAGCAGCGGGCUUGGCUUUGGCAGCUGGCUUAGCCUUAGCUGCGGGCUUAGCCUUUGACUUGGUAGCAGCUUUAGCCUUGGGCUUGGCUUUGGACUUAGCAGCAGCAG